rnacentral:rRNA from 1 species
CACGUAGGGGGCAAGCGUUGUCCGGAUUUAUUGGGCGUAAAGAGCUCGUAGGCGGCUUAGUAAGUCGGGUGUGAAACCUCCAGGCUCAACCCGGAGACGCCACCCGAUACUGCUGUGGCUAGAGUCCGGUAGGGGAGCGUGGAAUUCCUGGUGUAGCGGUGAAAUGCGCAGAUAUCAGGAGGAACACCAGCGGCGAAGGCGGCGCUCUGGGCCGGUACUGACGCUGAGGAGCGAAAGCGUGGGGAGCAAACAGG